GAUGAACGCUGGCGGCGUGCUUAACACAUGCAAGUCGAACGGAAAGGCCCAAGCUUGCUUGGGUACUCGAGUGGCGAACGGGUGAGUAACACGUGGGUGAUCUGCCCUGCACUUCGGGAUAAGCCUGGGAAACUGGGUCUAAUACCGGAUAGGACCACUUCUUGGAUGUUGUGGUGGAAAGUUUUUUCGGUGUGGGAUGAGCUCGCGGCCUAUCAGCUUGUUGGUGGGGUAAUGGCCUACCAAGGCGUCGACGGGUAGCCGGCCUGAGAGGGUGUACGGCCACAUUGGGACUGAGAUACGGCCCAGACUCCUACGGGAGGCAGCAGUGGGGAAGAUUGCACAAUGGGCGCAAGCCUGAUGCAGCGACGCCGCGUGGGGGAUGACGGCCUUCGGGUUGUAAACUCCUUUCGCUAGGGACGAAGCGUUUUGUGACGGUACCUGGAGAAGAAGCACCGGCUAACUACGUG
rnacentral:rRNA from 1 species